rnacentral:rRNA from 1 species
UAGGGAAUCUUCCACAAUGGACGCAAGUCUGAUGGAGCAACGCCGCGUGAGUGAAGAAGGUUUUCGGACCGUAAAGCUCUGUUGUUGGUGAAGAAGGAUAGAGGUAGUAACUGGCCUUUAUUUGACGGUAAUCAACCAGAAAGUCACGGCUAACUACGUGCCAGCAGCCGCGGUAAUCGUAGGUGGCAAGCGUUGUCCGGAUUUAUUGGGCGUAAAGCGAGCGCAGGCGGAAGAAUAAGUCUGAUGUGAAAGCCCUCGGCUUAACCGAGGAAUUGCAUCGGAAACUGUUUUCUUGAGUGCAGAAGAGGAGAGUAGAACUCCAUGUGUAGCGGUGGAAUGCGUAGAUAUAUGGAAGAAUACCAGUGGCGAAGGCGGCUCUCUGGUCUGCAACUGACGCUGAGGCUCGAAAGCAUGGGUAGCGAACAGGAUUAGAUACCCUGGUAGUCCAUGCCGUAAACGAUGAGUGCUAAGUGUUG